UACGGAGGGUGCAAGCGUUAAUCGGAAUUACUGGGCGUAAAGCGCGCGUAGGCGGAUGUCUAAGUCGGAUGUGAAAGCCCGGGGCUCAACCUCGGAACUGCAUACGAUACUGGGCAUCUUGAGUACGAUAGAGGGUGGUAGAAUUUCUUGUGUAGCGGUGAAAUGCGUAGAUAUAAGAAGGAAUACCGGUGGCGAAGGCGGCCACCUGGAUCGAUACUGACGCUGAGGUGCGAAAGCGUGGGGAGCAAACAGG
rnacentral:rRNA from 1 species